GGACCCCUGGGAUAUCCAGCACUGGGCUCUGACCUCCCCUGAGGAUGCAGUGCCCCCGGGACCUUUGACACCCGGGGAUCUGAGGGGUCA